CACGUAGGGUGCGAGCGUUGUCCGGAAUUAUUGGGCGUAAAGAGCUCGUAGGCGGUGUGUCGCGUCGGCCGUGAAAACCUGCAGCUUAACUGUGGGCGUGCGGUCGAUACGGGCAUCACUGGAGUUCGGCAGGGGAGACUGGAAUUCCUGGUGUAGCGGUGAAAUGCGUAGAUAUCUGGAGGAACACCGGUGGCGAAGGCGGCAUCCUGGACCGAGAUUGACGCUGAGGCGCGAAAGCCAGGGGAGCAAACGGG
rnacentral:rRNA from 1 species